rfam:Spinacia oleracea cultivar SynViroflay scaffold4272.con0008.1, whole genome shotgun sequence.
AUGAGUAGUUCGGAUCGCAACACUUAGGAAAUUAAUUACUCCCUCCAAGCUUCGUCGAUAGUUUGUGUUCUUUGGACUUUUCAAACUUAGAGAACGAAACAUCUGAGUAGCUAAAGGAAGAGAAAUCAACUGAGACCUCGUUAGUAGCGGCAAGCGAGAGCGGAUUGGGGAUUUGAAGAAAAACAAACACGAAUCAAAUCCAAAAACUCCAAGAGCUUUAGCGAUAUAUUACAUUACCUCGUGUGAACUACUUUUUCGCCAUGUUUCAUUCGAUUUCUUGUGCAUUGGAUGAUGGAAAGUCAGGAAGCUACAAAAAUCUUGAAAGCCACUUACGCCUAUUUAUUAGGCUACAGGGGGCAGGGAACUGUAAUUGUGAAAAGUUUGAAGUUAUGGCCAAAGAAGGUGAUAGCCUUGUAGAUUCGUUCCCAUGGUUUGAUCAUUCCCAAUAAAAUGAUGCGUAUACGAAUUCUGGCCGCUUUUACGCAAGAAAUUGGGACCACCCUCUAAGCCUAAGUAUUCCUCGAUGACCAAUAGUGUACAAGUACCGUGAGGGAAAGGUGAAAGAACCCUAUUUAGGGAGUGUAAUAAAUAACUUGAGAU